rnacentral:rRNA from 1 species
GACGAACGCUGGCGGCGUGCCUAAUACAUGCAAGUCGAACGCAGUGGGGACGGUUUAGUAACACGUGGGUAACCUCCCAUCAGAGGGGAUAACACUUGGAAAACGGUGCUAAACCACUACUGUUGGCUGGUACCGCGGGGCAUUAGCUAGUUGGUGAGGGAACGGCUCACCAAGGCCACGAGGCAUAGCGGGCCUGAGAGGAUGAUCGGCCACACUGGGACUGAGACACGGCCCAGACUCCUACGGGAGGCAGCAGUAGGGAAUCUUCGACAAUGGACGAAAGUCUGACCGAGCAACGCCGCGUGAGUGAAGAAGGUUUUCGGAUCGUAAAACUCUGUUGUUAGAGAAGCGGUAUCUAACCAGAAAGCAACGGCUAACUACGUGCCAGCAGCCGCGGUAAUAC